ACAAGUGUGGGUACAUGGGAAUUUCAGAGCAUAUAGUUUGCUGUGCAAAUAACCUCAGUGAUAAUGGGGAAAAGGAGGGUGUUAAGGUCCUCAUGGAUGUGAAGACCAGCAUUUCUCCCCAUUUCGUGCAGCAACAGUAGCAGGCAGACACCUCCCUAUCACUGAGCUGUAGGAGGUGCCUGCAUGAUCUGGAGCGUUUCCUUCCCACCCAGCAGCACGCACACACUGCUGCUGCUGACCACAGGGUACCUGCUGCCUGUUGUAGUCUGGCUUAUGUUGGUGCUUUAUGCAUCCAAUUUAAAAACAAGGCGCUUGACUGUCAAGUGGGACUGAACGCUACUCAGCAUCCUACAGACUUUGAGCAGUAGAAAAUAGGAAAGGACUGUGAAGCUUCUCACAGCAGUAGUUGCUUCCUUCCCAGGAUUCCCCACGCUGCUUUCUGAGAUAAAGCAAUGGUCCGGGCAAUGCACCACACAUCUCUGCUCUUCCGCCUCAGGCCUGUCCGCUGGAGUGGCCGCAGCAUCCAAAGCUCUCCACCAGAGGGGAAAGUGGGACCGGUGGAGACAAUCAUUGGAUUCUCAGCAUUUUCACUGACAGUUCUUGGACCGGCUGGAUGGUUCCUGUACCACCUUCCAAGCUAUAAAAUGGAAUAAAAAACAUCCCUUCAAAAUUAAGAUCUGGAAGCUGUGGUAAGCACCUGACUUGGAAUCUCUUGAAGGGGAGAACACAGGGACUUGAGGGCCAGUUUUAAACAAAUUGACUGAAAAAUGAGUUCAAGUUUUAUGUGUUGCUUCUGAAUGAAAAAUAAAAAAGGUCCACAUAGAGAAAAUGACUGCAAAACUGUGCAUUCACAUGCUGUGAUUAGUCCUGUGGGACAGGUCACACUGAGCAGAAGGCUGUAUACAUUUGCAGAUACUGUAGAUGUAGAUCCUGAUGUUAAAGGUGCACUGAGACAAAGUAGCGGUGGUUCCCUUCUUCUGCUUAACAGCUGAGAGAAAAUACAGAAGAAUGAUGUUUAUAGUACUUUCAUUUAUACUCAUCUCAAACAGAAGAGUUUAAGACAAUUAUCUUGAAACUUUUAUCUCUGACCUUUAGACGUAUUUUUUUGGUGUCCCCCACCCAAUUUAAUUUGCUACCAUGAUAAAUAUUUUUCUGUUGGUAACGAUUGUCAAAUGCAGGAAUUUGUUUUCAAUUUGUUCAUUUAAAUUUGUGAUAUUUGAAAGAUUUUGCCACGUUUGCUGUUUAAGAUGAUUAAAAUGAUAAUACUUUGAAAUCUAGACUAUGUAUCAAAUAAACAUAAGUUGUAUCAGUCAUGUCAUGUUGUGUUACAAAGGAAUAAUGGUUUCAUGUCUGCUUUGCAAAAAAAUUUGUGAUGUUAACCUUUUGAGAUGCCUGAAAUUUAACAAGAUGUGAAAGUGGUGUCUUUUUUUUCCUCCCAAACCUGUAGCUUUGUCAGUAAAUCCAACAUCUUGAUCUGAGGCCCAGAAAUGCAUUUGGAAACUUUCCUACAGAUUUUAAUGAGUUUUGGAUAAGGGCCUAUCCAGGGAAAAAUCCAUGCCAGUAACUGAAGUGAAGCCGGGCGACUCUUUGCGAAACACUGCUCUCGCAUGCCAUGAAUAUAUCACUGACAUCAAUUAGGCUGUUCUGCAGAAUCUUUCGUAAAAAAGCGUUUUGCACAUUUCUGUGCGCCUGCUUGUCCUGCACCCAAUUUUGUCAUCCAUGUCUCACCUGGUGAUAGCUAAAUAAAUCAGUAAGACACAUCAUCUUUCA